UACGUAGGCAGCGAGCGUUGUUUGGAAUUACUGGGCGUAAAGAGUGUGUAGGCGGUGCUCCCAGUCUGUUGUGAAAUCUCCCGGCUUAACUGGGAGGGUGCAGCGGAAACUAGAGUGCUAGAGGGUGGGAGAGGUAAGCGGAAUUCCUGGUGUAGCGGUGAAAUGCGUAGAUAUCAGGAGGAACACCUGUGGUGUAGACAGCUUACUGGACCACUUCUGACGCUGAGACACGAAAGCGUGGGUAGCAAACAGG
rnacentral:rRNA from 1 species